CCCUCCCUGCUUCCCGCCAUGGCGCCUCUUCGCCUUCUGCACGCGCAAGCGACAAUGCGGAGACACCUCGGGAAGGAACAGCUUGCGGCCCUCUGAUCACUCACAUCCUGGUUAGCGGCGGGCGCCCACGCGCGUAUACGCUCUCGUGUUUACAAGCGACAGCCAGACUCCUGAUCCCGGAGUGUGACAAUUACGGUCCACCCGCUGCCGGAACCAACUGCAGCCUACGACUGUCUGUCGAGCCAAGCGUGUGGACUAAAGAGUCUGCUUUGGUGCCACCACAACAAACCGCAGUGGACGGUGAGGAUUGCUGGAAAUAAUCAUUGUUCCCGUAUUACCCACUCUUGGGGACUUGCAUGCUGCAAAAACCAAGAGAAGAGCAGGCAGAAUUCUCUCGGACCCUCAACAUCCUGGUCACCACCUCUUCGGCUCCUUCC